UACAGAGGGUGCAAGCGUUAAUCGGAAUUACUGGGCGUAAAGCGUGCGUAGACGGUUAUGUAAGUCAGAUGUGAAAGCCCCGGGCUCAACCUGGGAAUUGCAUUUGAGACUGCAUAGCUAGGGUGCGGAAGAGGGAAGCGGAAGUUCCGGUGUAGCGGUGAAAUGCGUAGAUAUCGGAAGGAACACCAGUGGCGAAAGCG
rnacentral:rRNA from 1 species